AGUGAAUUCUACAAAGAGGCUAUGGGAAAGAAACCUGGAAAGGUAGGGAGUACCCUUGGCUGUGUACAUUUGAGUAAAGAGAGCACUAUAAAAUCAAAAACCAAUGAAAUGGUUUCCAGAACACAGAACUAUUAAGCUUAAGAAAAGGACAGAAGGAACUGAAGAGAGAGGAACUGUUUUGGAGCAUCACACUUCCACCUCAGAAGAAAUAAGGAAGGAAGGAGGAGGGUGUUCCCACGGCUCUUCAACCAGGCCGGCUCUUCAGCCUACAUCCCCAUCUCAUCAAGUAAAAGGGAUUUUUCAACUGGACCAACCAGAUGGUUUAACAGUGCACUCCCACACCAUUCAACUACGCAAGGGAGAUACACUUAACAUAUGCAGUCGUAUAACACCUACUAACAUUUUCAAACAUUAAACCUUUAAAAAAGAGUUCUAAAGAAAUAGAAGCUUGAAGUAUCAUCUCUCAAGUAUAUAGACACUACUUCAUGGUGUGGUAAUAUAUGCAUAUAGAAGCUAGUAAACACCUCCAGGAGAUGCAAAAGGAAUUAGAACUGCCACAAGGUGCAAGCAAAACCUUGAGCUUCUUUAAAAUAUGAAGACUUCGAAGUUAUUUAUCCAAACCAACCUGAUCAUUUCUUAAGAGUGAAUAUACCUUGGAAGACGUGUCCUGCCUUUAGUAGCGUCACAAUGGAUUACAUCCUCUAUAAAGCAGUCUGGGAUAUUCUGCCCAAUCAGAGGCUAACAUCUGCCACAAGACAAAUAUGGUGCCUGCCCCCAUGGAGCUCAUAUUCGAAUGGAGAAAAUGUCAACAAGUAUCCCACGGAGUGAACACUUCAAAAGGAGAAGCACAGGUGAGAAAAUCGAAUUUGGACACCGUUGAGGAGACUAUUGCAGUCAUCCAAGCUCAAGAUGGUGGAGCUUCAUCCUUGAGAAUAACCAAUGGGGAUAGAUUUAAGAGACACUUAGAGUCUGCAGCCAACAGGGCUGAAUGAGCAGAGAGUUAUGAUUCAGAAGAUCAUCUAAAAUUGAACAGCUGCCACUACUGGCAAUAAGUCUACUGCCAUUUGGUAGAUAACCUUCUUAUCACACAGAAAAAUAUCAGUACAGACAAAUAGACCGCAAAGAAAAUGAGACCAUCAGCAAAGAAGAUAAAGAAGUUUGUACAAAGCAACUUUUUAUAAAUGGAUGGCUGUCAGGCAAAAAUAAAUUUCCUGUGGACAAGACCAAGAGCAAGGCAAGAGGAAAAUAAACAUGUUUAAAC
rnacentral:lncRNA from 1 species